AUUAGAGCGGCCGAUGUCGGAUUAGCUAGUUGGUGGGGUAAAGGCUUAAGGCGACGAUCCGUAGCGGGUCUGAGAGGAUGAUCCGCCACACUGGGACUGAGACACGGCCCAGACUCCUACGGGAGGCAGCAGUGGGGAAUUUUGGACAAUGGGCGAAAGCCUGAUCCAGCCAUGCCGCGUGAGUGAAGAAGGCCUCGGUUGUAAAGCUCUUUCUAGCCGGAAAGAAAUACGCGCAGGCUAAUACUCUGCGUGGAUGACGGUACCGGAAGAAGAAGCACCGGCUAACUACGUGCCAGCAGCCGCGGUAAUACGUAGGGUGCGAGCGUUAAUCGGAAUUACUGGGCGUAAAGCGUGCGCAGGCGGCAGUUCAAGUCUGCUGUCAAAGA
rnacentral:rRNA from 1 species